rnacentral:rRNA from 1 species
AUUGAACGCUGGCGGCAUGCCUUACACAUGCAAGUCGAACGGCAGCACGGGUGCUUGCACCUGGUGGCGAGUGGCGAACGGGUGAGUAAUACAUCGGAACAUGUCCUGUAGUGGGGGAUAGCCCGGCGAAAGCCGGAUUAAUACCGCAUACGAUCUACGGAUGAAAGCGGGGGACCUUCGGGCCUCGCGCUAUCGGGUUGGCCGAUGGCUGAUUAGCUAGUUGGUGGGGUAAAGGCCUACCAAGGCGACGAUCAGUAGCUGAUCUGAGAGGACGACCAGCCACACUGGGACUGAGACACGGCCCAGACUCCUACGGGAGGCAGCAGUGGGGAAUUUUGGACAAUGGGCGAAAGCCUGAUCCAGCAAUGCCGCGUGUGAAGAAGGCCUUCGGGUUGUAAAGCACUUUUGUCCGGAAAGAAAUCCUUGGCCCUAAUACGGUCGGGGGAUGACGGUACCGGAAGAAUAAGCACCGGCUAACUACGUG